rnacentral:rRNA from 1 species
AUUGAACGCUGGCGGCAGGCCUAACACAUGCAAGUCGAGCGGAUGAAGGGAGCUUGCUCCUGGAUUCAGCGGCGGACGGGUGGGUAAUGCCUAGGAAUCUGCCUGGUAGUGGGGGAUAACGUCCGGAAACGGGCGCUAAUACCGCAUACGUCCUGAGGGAGAAAGUGGGGGAUCUUCGGACCUCACGCUAUCAGAUGAGCCUAGGUCGGAUUAGCUAGUUGGUGGGGUAAAGGCCUACCAAGGCGACGAUCCGUAACUGGUCUGAGAGGAUGAUCAGUCACACUGGAACUGAGACACGGUCCAGACUCCUACGGGAGGCAGCAGUGGGGAAUAUUGGACAAUGGGCGAAAGCCUGAUCCAGCCAUGCCGCUUGUGUGAAGAAGGUCUUCGGAUUGUAAAGCACUUUAAGUUGGGAGGAAGGGCAGUAAGUUAAUACCUUGCUGUUUUGACGUUACCAACAGAAUAAGCACCGGCUAACUUCGUG